GGUCCCGUGGUGUAGUGGUUAACAUGCCUGCCUGUCACGCAGGAGAUCGCCGGUUCGACCCCGGGUGGGCUA
rnacentral:tRNA from 1 species